rnacentral:pre_miRNA from 1 species
GGCCAGGAAGAGGAGGAAGCCCUGGAGGGGCUGGAGGUGAUGGACGUUUUCCUCCGGUUCUCAGGGCUCCACCUCUUUCGAGCC